UCUCCCUCACUUAGAACUCCCACUAACAUUCAAAUGACUUUGUUGUCAUGUUGUCUUAAUACGCCUUGCUGCCAGUAACCAGACACAAAGCACUUUUGGUUCACUUUUCUUGUCCACUCGUCUUCCAUGUGUCUUGGCCACUUCUUCAAAACAGCAUCAUAUGUUGCUGAAAAGGCAAUUUCAUGUUUAGCUUAUAAGUAUUUUGAGGAAACACUGUUGCAAGAACAUGCAGGUAAUGUAGAAAAAUAUAAUUUGUCAGUCACAUGUUCAGUUGAAUUGAAUUGACUAGGUGUUGUGUAUUGUAACCUACAGCAACAGGUGGUGCGCAAUGUAGGAAAUGCUGAGGAAGGAAAUUGAUGCGCUCUAUGCGUGGGACAUGUGUGUCGUUUUUAGACGCAACUGAACUGGCCGUUCCCAGUGUGCGAUCUGUGGUUUCUUGAACAUCUUGUGGAGUUGUAACAGUUAUGUCAGUUUCUUCUUCGGUACAAAUCCGCUUAAACGCAGUGGGUUUGGUACUUCUUGCGUGCAAUGUGGUGUGCAUUGCCUGGUUUUUGCUGUCAAAGGAAUCCCUGAACGUAUCCAGAGACGACAGCCACACUGAAGUGUUAGGCCCAGUGAGAUGGGAGCAGGAGCACAACCCCAGGGGCAUGUCCUUGGACCCGAGCAAGACUCGGAUCGCCGUGGACGACGACGGAAUUUAUGUAGUGUUCGUGCAGGCCGUCUUCAUUCUGAGGAGCGGGAGCACGGACACUGGACAGACGGACAAAAGAGUCCGCCUACGGCUCCAGCUCAACACCAAUGGCACUGAUGGGAUCCCCGAGGACCAGUUGGUUGCAGCCUGGGACGAACGAGAGGUUAAGGACGUUCACGACGAGCAGAUAGUGCAUCUGAGUUUCAUGGUGCUGCUGGAGCUGAAGAAAAGCCAGUACAUACGCGUCAUGGCCAAGCACCGGGACAAGCUGGACUACAACACACCACUCUCCACGUUCCUAACCAUCGUCAAGCAUUCCGAUUUGCAGGACUAAAGCGUGCUCUGAAUGUGUUGCCUGUUUUGACAGAAGUCCUUUUUCUCAAUCGCCAUCUGUCCAUUUUGACCCUAACCAACCUGCUCACAGGGUAAGGGUCAACCAGCUUCCAGCGCACUAUCAGCACUAUCCUACCUUAGCAUCAAUGGGCAGAUUUGCUUACGUUGCCCCCUCUUGUGCAGUGAACCAUUAGUUAUCUGUGGUUGAAAGUUCCUAGAAAUGCUUUGGGUGUCUUUUUUUUUUUGCGACUCCCGCUCAGUGGCUGUGUCGCAUGGGCCAGAGUGUGGAAAAUUCUCCACUUGCAUGGUUGCGACCGUAUUGCAUAACAGCUGCGAGUUUACUGUUCACAGAAUGCCCGUAGAAAACAUCAGCGCCAACAUCAGGAACUGCCACAUGCCUUUGUUCUCGUCACUGCACACUUUACAGCACUGGCCCUUUAGCCAAUCCUCUUCUGUUAUCGGGUACGAUGGAAGGUUUAGUGUCCUGAAUUAUUAAUAUGCAUUGUCAGUCUAGCGAUGAUUAGCUCUACUUAUUAUUUUUAUGGCACUUCCUGGUAUUUUAACACACAUUUAUAGCAAUAACAUUAAAUUCUCACACUUUAUCUUUCAGUCUUCAUUCUUUUUUGUAUUAUGGUUCAUUCAGAUUUAAACAAGCUAUGUUGAGGGGAAUCUUCAAACUAAAUAUAUGUACAGAAGUUUAUGUAUAUGAACAUAUUGUAAGUUGUGUUUUUGUAAUUUAUCUGGACAUAUUUUUUGGCCUUUUGUUCUUGGUGUCUGUUCUGUGCUAUCACACUGCUGGUAAAGAAAGCCUUGUUCUAUGUGUUUCUGAAUCAUGUAAGCCAGUAACUGGUACACAUAACAUUUAAAUGUUGCUCUGAAAGCAACCAAUCGUAUGUAUGCUAACUGAAGUGGGCCAUUUCAAAAUCAGCAGGUAGAUGAGGGUAAUUUGUGAAAAAGCGACCCUCUUGAAUUCAAUUUUUGUAAAUUUAGUUGAACAAAAAAUACACAGUAUUUAACUUUCUGGGGAUGAGUUCUUGAUCGUGCUGACAAAAAUCUGUCAAACAUCUGGGCACUUUCCUCUCAGCUAAGGAAAUAAUUGCCACAAAGCUUCCACUGGUCGUUAAUUGUGUGUAACAUGUUUCACAUCAGGUUUAAUAUCUGAAUAUAUGAUGCCUGUAACACAUAGCAUACAUUAUUAUGGCAAAGGAGUGAAAGUGUGAACUCUCUUGUGUGAGAAAAUCUCUUGUAAUGAAGUCAUGUUUUGUCUGGAUUUAGUUUCAGUGACUCACAACUUGCCACACUCUUCACUUGGACCAGAUAUCUGUGUACUGUAUUCUGCAGGCAACAUAGUUUGUUGAAUGUAUUUCUAUUACCAAGAACCACUGCUAUGGUAAUAUGUUUGUAAUUAUCUAUUUAUAUCUAAAUUAAAAAGCUGUAAUAAGUUUACUAACUGUAAUAAUCUAUUGUCAUGCUGAUUCAGUGCAGUAUUUAUGUAUUUAUGCUCCAAUAAAAUAUUAACAAUAUAGCCCUUUUGUGCCA
rnacentral:lncRNA from 1 species